UUGCUUUCUCUCUCUCCGAAAACCUUUUGGCGCCGUGUUUUCCCCCUUAGCAUUCUCGAACCCUAAUCUAUUUUUCUUUCCCUCAUCUCGUAUGAUCUCUUCAUGUCUUCCUGUGAUCGCGCAACAAGAAGGGGUGGCGCCUCCGCUAGUUCUCCCUCCAUGACGGUGUGCUCUCCUACUCCAAGAUCGCCCGUCGGAUCUUACGACCGUACCCUCGAGAAGCCGAGUGCGCCUCAUUAGAAAUUCCAAUUCCAUGUUCUUCUCCUCCUAUUGCCAUGGCAGAUGUGGCUGUUGGCAACCCCGGAUACUUGUACGACUAGUACAACUCAAGGUACGCAAGAAUAUAAGGUAUGUUGGAUGCGCCUCCGCUGAAGUCCCCGCUGCCGCCCCCACCUCCGCCUUCCUCCUCCGACCCUUCACCUGCGCCUUCAGUUUUUAUCACCAUGUUGAGUGUCACCGCCGAGCUUCAGGCUAUUCGCGUUGUGCCUCCUCCAUUGUCAUGUCCCUAGACCUAGGAAAGAUCCCUCUUCUUGUCUUUCUUAUGUGUUAUUUGUUUGUUUUUCCGAUCUAUGUCUCUACAAUCUCGAGAUCCUCUUUCUGGCUUCCGCCGGUAUUUUAUUUAGGGCAUCGGUGAGGAGCCCGUUCGCUGCUUGAUCAUAUCAGUUUUCACUCGGACAUAUAAUCUUCUCGGUCGAUCUGUUGAUUAUAGUGAGAUGAUAGAUGUUUUAGGUUCUAGGGCUUCCUCAGAUCUGGGGUUUUUUUUUUUAUUCUUGAAUUAGGAAUUUUGUUCUAGGUUUAGAUUCAAUCUGCUUGUUUUUCGUAUAAUGUUUUUAAUCUGUGUUGAGUUUGUGUACUUUCAAAAAUGCGUAAUUAAUAUAUGGUCAUAGGAAAUACUAGCAUCGGUGUCUUGAUUGAUUCUUCGUGCUUUAUAUUGUAUUGUCCUAUUCCAUUGAGAUUGGAUAAAGACCUCUUUUUGGUAAAUUACUAUAGUAUUGUAGGUUACAAGUGUUGAUUAGAAUAAAACUGUUCUUAUGCAAAGACCCUGAUAUCUUAGAAUGUAUGCUUUAAUAUGUUAUAGCUAGUUACUAUAAAAUUUCUCUAUAUAUGACUCGAGGAAGUUAUUAGAACUAACUGUCAAAUCUCAGAUAUUAUAAUUAGAAAUUAGCUAGUUGACUAUUGCAAUAUAAUGGCCCCUUGUUGCUUAGAAAUUCUCUGAUCUAUACGGGUAUUGGAUGUAAUUCUUCUCUAUAUUUUACUCUAGAAGUUCUUUCAAAUUUUCAUUUGCAGAUACAUGACAGUUCUUUCUUUAAAUACACUUGCAGAUUUGCUGAAUUUUUGUUACAUUUACAUGUCUUUUCUUCAGCUAUUUAGUUUGCACUUAAUAGUGUUAAAAGUCUACAGGUUCUAAGCAUUGUUUUGCAUCUGUGUGACAGAGAUUCUUGUUGAUUUGUUCCAAGAAGUGAAUUGGUUGUUUGUUCAAGUGUGCCUUCUCACAUCUGCAUAAGAUGCACUUCCUUUAAACCUACAAUAACUUUGGGAGUACCAAGAGAAGAAUAGCUUUGGGUUUAAUUUGAGUGGUCUUGUGCCAAGAUUUCUUGGAAGAACAUUUAAUGUCGUCAGAAAUGCCUUAAUUUGUCCAACUGGCAAUGAGAAAGAAUGCUAUGGGGCAAUUCCUAUACCUAUGUCCUUCAACAUAAAUAAUGAUUCUCCCGGUGAUCAAACUAUACAAAAGUCGAAAAGCCAUACAAUAAUUCGCCCAUUAGCUUACGGUCUCGCGUGCAUCUAUUUCAUUAGCCUUGCACUUGGUCUACUUAUUUGGUGCCAUAAAAGGCGUAGCUAGCAAGUAUUCUUCGAUGCAAAUGAUCAACACAAAGUAAUCUGCCUUGGCAAUUUGAAAAGGUUUCAGUUCAGGGAGCUUCAAAUAGCAACAAAUGGUUUCAGCAGCAAAAACUCACUUUGCAAAGGUGGCUUUGGAAUUGUCUACAAAGGGAAGCUACAAGACAGAACCUUAGUCGCUGUUAAAAGACUCAAUGACGGUAAUGCGGCAGGCGGAGAGAUACAAUUUAAAGCUGAAGUGGAAAUGAUCAGCCUAGCAAUUCACAGACACAUCCUUAGGCUUUGUGGAUUCUGCAUGACUGCUACUGAAAAGCUACUAGUUUAUCCUUACAUGUAAAAUGGAAGUGUUGCUUCUCGGCUCAAAGUAAGGCCAACUCUAGACUGGAGUACGAGGAGAAGAAUAGCUUUGGGAGUAGAAGCUUGAAGCUGCUGGUAAGGUGAAGGUAGAUGCAAAAGCAAGGGAGACGAAAUUAAAGGCUUCAACAAAGCACAAAAGAAGAUCCUACUCUGAAUCAGAUAGUGACAAUGAAGAUAACAUGUAUAACAUAUUUUGAAUUAGACAGUGAGAGUGACAGUGAUCAACAUAUUUUGGAUUUUGAUUACAUGUAUAGCUAUUAUUUUCUCAUUUUGAUAUGUAGUUAAUUUUUGAAAUUUGAAGAUAACAUUUUUAUGGAUUGAAUAUAGUAAAUAUUUAGUUUUGUA